rnacentral:rRNA from 1 species
GACGAACGCUGGCGGCGUGCUUAACACAUGCAAGUCGAACGGAAAGGCCCUGCUUGCCGGGUGCUCGAGUGGCGAACGGGUGAGUAACACGUGGGUGAUCUGCCCCUUACUUUGGGAUAAGCCUGGGAAACUGGGUCUAAUACUGGAUAGGACCAUGCUGUAGGUGGUGUGGUGGAAAGAUUAGUUUCGGUAAGGGAUGAGCUCGCGGCCUAUCAGCUUGUUGGUGGGGUAAUGGCCUACCAAGGCGUCGACGGGUAGCCGGCCUGAGAGGGUGGACGGCCACAUUGGGACUGAGAGACGGCCCAGACUCCUACGGGAGGCAGCAGUGGGGAAUAUUGCACAAUGGGCGCAAGCCUGAUGCAGCGACGCCGCGUGGGGGAUGACGGCCUUCGGGUUGUAAACUCCUUUCAGCCAUGACGAAGCCUUCGGGUGACGGUAGUGGUAGAAGAAGCACCGGCUAACUACGUG